GGAGAGAUGGCUGAGUUGGUCUAAGGCGCACGACUGGAAAUCGUGUGACUGUUAACGCGGUCCGAGGGUUCGAAUCCCUCUCUCUCCGCCA
rnacentral:tRNA from 1 species